GGUUGGAGCAGGAGACUGUUAUAUACACAGAGAGGUUGGAGCAGGAGACUGUUAUAUACACAGAGAGGUUGGAGCAGGAGACUGUUAUAUACACAGAGAGGUUGGAGCAGGAGACUGUUAUAUACACAGAGAGGUUGGAGCAGGAGACUGUUAUAUACACAGAGAGGUUGGAGCAGGAGACUGUUAUAUACACAGAGAGGUUGGAGCAGGAGACUGUUACAUACACAGAGAGGUUGGAGCAGGAGACUGUUAUAUACACAGAGAGGUUGGAGCAGGAGACUGUUACAUACACAGAGAGGUUGGAGCAGGAGACUGUUAUAUACACAGAGAGGUUGGAGCAGGAGACUGUUACAUACACAGAGAGGUUGGAGCAGGAGACUGUUAUAUACACAGAGAGGUUGGAGCAGGAGACUGUUACAUACACAGAGAGGUUGGAGCAGGAGACUGUUAUAUACACAGAGAGGUUGGAGCAGGAGACUGUUAUAUACACAGAGAGGUUGGAGCAGGAGACUGUUAUAUACACAGAGAGGUUGGAGCAGGAGACUGUUAUAUACACAGAGAGGUUGGAGCAGGAGACUGUUAUAUACACAGAGAGGUUGGAGCAGGAGACUGUUAUAUACACAGAGAGGUUGGAGCAGGAGACUGUUAUAUACACAGAGAGGUUGGAGCAGGAGACUGUUAUAUACACAGAGAGGUUGGAGCAGGAGACUGUUAUAUACACAGAGAGGUUGGAGCAGGAGACUGUUAUAUACACAGAGAGGUUGGAGCAGGAGACUGUUAUAUACACAGAGAGGUUGGAGCAGGAGACUGUUAUAUACACAGAGAGGUUGGAGCAGGAGACUGUUAUAUACACAGAGAGGUUGGAGCAGGAGACUGUUAU